ACUGUUAACUGAAUACAUAGGUUAACAGAGCAAACCGGGGGAACUGAAACAUCUAAGUACCCCGAGGAGAAGAAAUCAACCGAGAUUCCGGUAGUAGCGGCGAGCGAACCUGGAUUAGCCCUUAAGCACUCGGUGAAGUAGGUGAACAAGCUGGAAAGCUUGGCGAUACAGGGUGAUAGCCCCGUAACCGACGCUUCAUCGAGCGUGAAAUCGAGUAGGGCGGGACACGUGAUAUCCUGUCUGAAUAUGGGGGGACCAUCCUCCAAGGCUAAAUACUCCUGACUGACCGAUAGUGAACCAGUACCGUGAGGGAAAGGCGAAAAGAACCCCUGUGAGGGGAGUGAAAUAGAACCUGAAACCGUGUACGUACAAGCAGUAGGAGCACCUUCGUGGUGUGACUGCGUACCUUUUGUAUAAUGGGUCAGCGACUUAUAUUCAGUGGCAAGGUUAACCGUAUAGGGGAGCCGUAGCGAAAGCGAGUCUUAACUGGGCGCUCAGUCUCUGGAUAUAGACCCGAAACCGGGUGAUCUAGCCAUGGGCAGGUUGAAGGUUGAGUAACAUCAACUGGAGGACCGAACCGACUAAUGUUGAAAAAUUAGCGGAUGACUUGUGGCUAGGGGUGAAAGGCCAAUCAAACUCGGAGAUAGCUGGUUCUCCCCGAAAGCUAUUUAGGUAGCGCCUCGGACGAAUACUACUGGGGGUAGAGCACUGUUAAGGCUAGGGGGUCAUCCCGACUUACCAACCCUUUGCAAACUCCGAAUACCAGUAAGUACUAUCCGGGAGACACACGGCGGGUGCUAACGUCCGUCGUGGAGAGGGAAACAACCCAGACCGCCAGCUAAGGUCCCAAAGUAUUGCUAAGUGGGAAACGAUGUGGGAAGGCUCAGACAGCUAGGAUGUUGGCUUAGAAGCAGCCAUCAUUUAAAGAAAGCGUAAUAGCUCACUAGUCGAGUCGGCCUGCGCGGAAGAUGUAACGGGGCUAAGCAAUACACCGAAGCUGCGGCAAU
rnacentral:rRNA from 1 species